AAUGAAAACAUGGACUCCCCAUAUUCACAGCAGAGAAGUUUUUCACAUUGAACACAGACCAGAGAAGUGUUUCCACUAAUUUAUAUCUGAUAUGUGAAGGGCUAAGAAGUCAUCACUCCCAUCUUCAUAACAAGAAAAAAAGCUGAACAAACUGGAAAUCAACAACUAUGCUUAGGUUCAUCAGAAAACUGAGGUCAUUGGCUAAAUUGCAGCCCUGGAAGACAGACACAUGGAUACAGAGAAUCAUAGCUUAACAGGAACAGAAAACUGGAAGCAGAAGGCCUUAGCUUUCUGUAGGAACACUAACUGUCAUUGGUGAAUUGCUGGAAGGUUAGUGUGGACUAGCUUGUGAGUUAAAAAAUCCAAAGGGACCCAGUCUCAGGGGCACCCCGCACUUUCAUGAGUUUUACCUCCAGGAAACCUACCAGGUUCUCAAUAUCCCCUGUGCUUCUGGCAGGGAGAGGAAAGCUCUGAAAUACAUCCAGACCUCUCUGAUCUCCUUAAAAAAGCUUGUCCCUAAGGGAAUCUAUUUUACCAGAACCUAACAGGCUGGAGUUUUACCAAAGCCUGAUCAACAAAAUAUCCAACUCAGGCUCGCUAAAAGACUGAGACUUAAUUAUGGACAGGAGAACACUUCCUCUUCUCCCACACCUUGCGACCACAUCAAUAAGGCUAUUGUAUAAUAACAGGGGAUUACAGCAAAAAGAACUGCAGGCCUCUGACCAUAUUUAAAGAGUGCCAAAGGAAACCCAAAGACAAUAGAGUAGACAAAAGCAAGGAUACUAGAGGAAAUUUUAGUCUCUGACACUAUAGCUACAGCAAAUAGUAAGCAGAAUCUAACUCCUAGUCACAUAAAUAUAAAACCUUGCACUAAAGACCUAUCUAUCACAGUUCCUUUUAUAUCAUAUCCAGCCUUCAACAAAGAAUUACAAGCCACUCUAAAAGGCAAAAACAAAGUCUGAAGAGACAAAGCAAGCAUCAGAACCAGACUCAAGUGUGGCACAGAUUUGGGAACUAUCAGACAAGGAAUUUAAAACAACUAUGAUUAAUACGCCAAUGGUUCUAAUGGAAAAAGUGGACAGUGCAAGAACAAGUGAGUAAUAAAAGCAGAGAGAUGAAAGUGCAAAGAAGGAAACAAAUGAAAAUGCAAGAAAUCAAAAACACUGUAACAUAAAUAAUGCCUUUGAUGGGCUCAUAAGUAGAUUGGACAUAGCUGAGGAAAGAAUCAGUGAGCUUAAAGAUGAGUCCACAGAAACUCCCCAAACUGAAAUGCAAAAAGAAAAAAGAAAUAAAAA
ensembl:lncRNA LURAP1L-AS1 LURAP1L antisense RNA 1